rnacentral:pre_miRNA from 1 species
GGGGCCUUAGUCUGCUAUUACAAUUGUGUCACAAUGGUCGAUCACUGAACAGUGCAAGAGUGCAGUGCUCAGUGAUCGGCCAUUCUGACACAAUUGUAAUAGCAGACUAAGGUCCC